CUUGGGGGGUUUAUUGCCGGCUUUCACAAGUCACGCUCCCCUUAAAUGCAUUAGCCGGUGCCUUCUAACCGUCUAUUGGUGUGAUAAUUAUCUACGCCGUGGGGCAGUUUCAAUGGUGCAUUGCUUCUAACCGUCUGUUCAUUCGGACAAUACAAUGACAUUUUGACCUCAAAUCAGGUAGGACUACCCGCUGAACUUAA
rnacentral:misc_RNA from 1 species